rnacentral:lncRNA from 1 species
CCCUUUGGUGGGCACUCCCUCAGACGUCUCUCCCUGUCUUUCCUUGGCUCCCCCCUGCAGGAGUUGUGAUACCUUCAACCUGCUGAGCUGAAGCCUUGCACCGAUGACUUAAAUUCUUUGAGACCCCAGAUACAUAGUGAAGGAACUCAAGACCAGCUGGGUUGGAGAUCC